rnacentral:rRNA from 1 species
CACGUAGGUGGCGAGGUAAGCCAAAGGUGAAAGCCCUCGGCUCAACCGAGGAAUUGCCUUUGAAACUGCUUUGCUUGAGUCCAGGAGGGGGGAGCGGAAUUCCCAGUGUAGCGGUGAAAUGCGUAGAUACUGGGAGGAACACCGGUGGCGAAGGCGGCUCCCUGGACUGGUACUGACACUGAGGUGCGAAAGCGUGGGUAGCAAACA